rnacentral:rRNA from 1 species
UACGAAGGGGGCUAGCGUUGUUCGGAAUCACUGGGCGUAAAGCGCACGUAGGCUGAUUGGUCAGUUGGGGGUGAAAUCCCGGGGCUAAACCUCGGAACUGCCUUCAAUACUGCCAGUCUUGAGUCCGAGAGAGGUGAGUGGAAUUCCUAGUGUAGAGGUGAAAUUCGUAGAUAUUAGGAAGAACACCAGUGGCGAAGGCGGCUCACUGGCUCGGUACUGACGCUGAGGUGCGAAAGCGUGGGGAGCAAACAGG